UAGUUCCUACGGGAGGCAGCAGUCGAGAAUCAUUCACAAUGGGGGAAACCCUGAUGGUGCGACGCCGCGUGGGGGAAUGAAGGUCUUCGGAUUGUAAACCCCUGUCAUGUGGGAGCAAAUUAAAAAGAUAGUACCACAAGAGGAAGAGACGGCUAACUCUGUGCCAGCAGCCGCGGUAAUACAGAGGUCUCAAGCGUUGUUCGGAAUCACUGGGCGUAAAGCGUGCGUAGGCUGUUUCGUAAGUCGUGUGUGAGAGGCGCGGGCUCAACCCGCGGCCGGCACAUCAUACUGCGAGACUAGAGUAG
rnacentral:rRNA from 1 species